AUAGCGUAUAUUAAAGUUGUUGCGGUUAAAAAGCUCGUAGUUGAAUCUGUGUCCCACGCUGUCGGUUCACCGCUCGCGGUGUUUAACUGGCAUGACUGUGGGACGUCCUACCGGUGGGCUUAGCCUCUCGGGGCGGCCCAACUAAUAUCCCAUCGCGGUGCUCUUUACUGAGUGUCGAGGUGGGCCGGUACGUUUACUUUGAACAAAUUAGAGUGCUUAAAGCAGGCUAUUUUCGCCUGAAUACUGUGUGCAUGGAAUAAUGGAAUAGGACCUCGGUUCUAUUUUGUUGGUUUUCGGAACCCCGAGGUAAUGAUUAAUAGGGACAGAUGGGGGCAUUCGUAUUGCGACGUUAGAGGUGAAAUUCUUGGAUCGUCGCAAGACGGACAGAAGCGAAAGCAUUUGCCAAAAAUGUUUUCUUUAAUCAAGAACGAAAGUUAGAGGUUCGAAGGCGAUCAGAUACCGCCCUAGUUCUAACCAUAAACGAUGCCAGCUAGCGAUCCGCCGACGUUCCUCCGAUGACUCGGCGGGCAGCUUCCGGGAAACCAAAGCUUUUGGGUUCCGGGGGAAGUAUGGUUGCAAAGCUGAAACUUAAAGGAAUUGACGGAAGGGCACCACCAGGAGUGGAGCCUGCGGCUUAAUUUGACUCAACACGGGAAACCUCACCAGGCCCGGACACCGGAAGGAUUGACAGAUUGAUAGCUCUUUCUUGAUUCGGUGGGUGGUGGUGCAUGGCCGUUCUUAGUUGGUGGAGCGAUUUGUCUGGUUAAUUCCGAUAACGAACGAGACUCUAGCCUGCUAAAUAGGCGUACUUUCCGGUAUCUCGAAGGCCCCCGGCUUCGGUCGGGUGGUUUUUACUACCGGCGUACAAAUAAAUCUUCUUAGAGGGAC
rnacentral:rRNA from 1 species